CCCUUCUUCUUAGUAGCCCACCCCCAGAAACCCAGGCUUUCCACUAGGUGCUUUGCAAUGGGGCAAGUGGCAGUGCCCCUUUAAAGCCAUAGAAGCUUCUGGGCCUUUUCCUACCCCAUAUAGGGUCCAUGGGGGACUAUUUGCUGUAGGUGAUGGAGUAUGUUCCUCUGGAGGUUUGGGCCGAGGCAGAAGCUUGAGCCCCAGGGGCAUCAUGGUAGAACCGGCCGUGGCAGACCCAGCCUCCUGGUCCACCCCCACCUCCCUGAGGACAUCUUGAUGCGGACAGGACCAGGGUCGUGUCCCAAGCCGGGGGCUCUUUGGGCUCUGUUGGGGACAACUGGAAGGAAUCGAGGAAUCAAGGCUGGCACUCUCCCCGUCGGCAGGCUCGGUCACAACUCAUCAGACCACCAAUGGCCACAUCCAUCCCCGGGAAGCCACAGCCCGGACCUGAACCGGACCACCAGGCUCUGUGGUUGGAGGAGGACUAACCGGCCACUCACGGGAUGCCACGGGCAGUGCGCCAGCCACACCGCGAGGGAGUUUUUUGGCCCAGUCCGCUGCCAUCUGGCCAUGAUUCCCCCUCACCCUCCCAGCCCCCACCCCGUCCCCUCCCUUCAGACAAUGCCAUUUCUUUGGGGGUCAAGGGUCAAACUGCAUCAUGGGGCCAAACCAAUCCCUGUCAACUCCAAGAGGUGAUGGAUGUGUUUAUGUGUCUUGUGUGAGAGCAAGGGCUGGGACCAGAGCAGGGUUCAGAGGCAGUGGGUGGAGGGGUCGCCCUUCUCGGGACUGCAAGAUGGGUUCUGGAAACGGGCCUGGAGCUCUGGACAGUCUGGAGUCUGGACAGUAGACGGACCUUAGAGUGGGUGUGAGUGUCGCCAGUGGCCCUUAAUUCUAUAGUCAGUGCGACUAUCGUGUGUGGGCUGUAGAGUUUCCUGCCCAUCUCAGGCUUCAAGAGUACAGACUCUCUUCCCUGCCCGAGGCAGGUGCCCCUGGGGGAGUGGGGUAUAGGGGCAGGAAUAGUUAGGGGUGUGUGAGUGUGUGUUGUUUAUCUGUGUGUUACUGCCAUGUGUCAUCCAUCCCUCUUAGAGGAGCAGAAUAGGGUGCGGGGGAGGAGAGUAGAAAGAUGCACAGUGGUUUUCCCCACACUGAAGGAAAAGGCACAGUCUGGCCCCCUCCUCUCCUCCUGCCCCCUCUCUCUCCCUUUACCUGCCUGGGCUCUGUAAGGCCAAAUAUAUCUGGAAUAAAAUGUUUAUGUUCUUCAUC